CAUUUCUUUCUUAUUUUCCCUGCGUCUUAGUUAUCACCAGCGGGAUGGACAGGAAGAAAAGUCUGGAAGACACAUUUAGGAAUUUUGUCAUCGAUGCAGUUGUUUCCUGACAACGGAUGGAGUGCUUGCUGUAUUGAGAUUAUGGGUGUGGGCCACAGUGCCCAGCCAGAUGUAUCUUCUAAUCCACCAAGGGAAUCUGAACUGUUAAUUAAUUGUUAAUUGUUAAAACAUUGCUGGGUGAAUAAGCAGAUGUGGUUGGAAGCAUACUAUUGAUGAAAAUCACCUCAGCUAAUAGACGUAGCUCAACCAAAACAUUGGCUUACACAAUUUGCUGGAAUUCUCUGUCUUCCACUAGCAGGCUUCAGAAGAAGAUCUGAACUCUCAGCUCUGCCUGCACUAUGCUUGUCUGGAUGCUGCCAUGUUUCCACCUUGAUGAUAAUGGACUGAACCUCUGAACCUGUAAGCCAGCCCCAAUUAAAUCUUGUCCUUAUAAGAGUUGCUUUCGUCAUGGUGUCUGUUCACAGCAGUGAAACCCUAGCUAAGAGAGUGAAUUCAGAUGUAGAAAUCUCCUUCGCCAGCACCAUGUCUGCCUGCACGCUUCCAUGCUUUCCUCCGUGAUAACAUGGAUUGAUCCUCUGAAACUGUAAACCAGCCCCAAUCAAAUGCUUUUUUAUACAAGAGUUGCCAUGGUAAUGUGUUUCUUCAUAGCAAUAGGUCGCUAAGACCAGUGGUGUCUUGUUUUCCUGGUUAUUCAUGUUUCUUAGAGUCUUUUGUAGUUAUCUGUACAUUUGCACAAGAGGUUGUUUCCUCCAGGGUUUAUCAACUAUCUCUGACAUAGUGAUUAACUUUACCUCUGAGCUGGGGUGCAUUAAAGCAUACUUUGACUCUAAACCUUGUGAGCCAGGGCACGUGUAGAGGCUUUCAGGUCAGAGGGUAAUGGAUGUGUCUAUCAGCUCACGAAGCUGGUAUCCAAAGUGUCGACAACUUGGCAGUCCUAUGCUGCGAGGACUGUUAGGGAUCCAGUGGCAAGGGCAGCAAUGGAGACAUGGGACACUCAGAUGUGUACACUUGGCCUCAAAGGCCAGCUGCAGGUAUCUGCUGGGUGACAAGUUUGGUGGCAGGCAAGUGCACAGCGGGAAAGUUUAGAGCACGAGAGGCUCAGAAGCCAUAUCUUGUAAAGGCAAAUAAAGACUCUUGGCUACAGAUUAAUGGAGUCCUCUUUGGAGCAAUGUUUUAAUUCUGUCACAUUAAAUAUUGUGAGUCCUCAGUGGUGAAAGUGUGAGGAGUUUGCAGCAGCUCCUGGGUCUGUUAAGUUUCCAGCAAAGAUGGCUCCAGGGUCCUCUUCUGAGGAGACUCUAAGGACAGCCAAGUCACAUACUCUAUUGCUGUCUCUUUUGCUCCGAGCUAUUUCCAGAUGCAUACUAUGCCAUUCUUCCUUAGUGAUCUGGGGAGAUCACCAGGCGAGUCUUUGAAAAGGUGUUCUGAAAGUUUGUGGAAUAUGGCUGUUCACCCAGCCUUUCUUUUUCUUAAGAGGGCAGUUCAUGGGCUGGUUAGUUUCUUCUCAGCCAGGGUAGUGAUGGGUUGGGGAGAGGUGUGUGAGUCAGGCAAAAUGAACCAUUUGCCCAUUGUUUUGAGGCAUUUUACUUGGGCGUUCUUCCUCCACCGUAUGUCUAUAUCUUUUACAAUGAUUCCCCCCCCCCCCACAGUACUUCCAGAGAUAUUUACCUUCCUGGAUAGUUCAUUUGGUGGGGAGGGAGAAUGUUGUAAAAUCUGAUAUCUUACUCCAAUGUAUUGCUGUCAUCGAUUGCUACUGCCUGAUUGGAAAGCGUGACUCUAAAUCCCAGCCCUGCCUAUAACUCCAGUUUCAGUGAGUUUGGCACCCUCUCUUGGUCUUUAAAGCUCUUGCACAUACUCUCUUGUACACGUGCUCAUAAACUCAUGCAGGCUCGAACAGGUUCACAUAACUG
ensembl:lincRNA G730013B05Rik RIKEN cDNA G730013B05 gene